AAAACAACCACAAAGAGACACAAAACAACAACAAAGAGACACAAAACAACAAAGAGACACAAAACAGCAACAGAGACACAAAACAACCACAAAGAGACACAACACAACAACAAAAACACAAAACAACCACAAAGAGACACAACACAACAACAAAGACACACAAAACAACAACUGAGACACAACACAACCACAAAGAGACACAACACAACCACAAAGAGACACAACACAACCACAGAGACACAAAACAACCACAAAGAGACACAACACAACAACAAAGACACACAAAACAACAAGAGACACAAAACAACAACAAAGAGACACAAAACAACCACAAAGAGACACAACACAACAACAAAGAAACACAAAACAACAACAGAGACACAAAACAACCACAAAGAGACACUAAACAACAGAGACACAACACAACCAUAAAGAGACACAACACAACAACAAAGAGACACAAAACAACCACAAAGAGACACAACACAACCAUAAAGAGACACAAAACAACCACAAAGAGACACAACACAACCAUAAAUAGACACUAAACAAUGAUGUGAAAUCCUAUUAAUUUACUUGAACAUGAAUUUAAAUCCAAAUCAACUGUUGCAGGAGUUUUGAUUUUAAUUACAGAAUUAGUUGAUGCAACGUUUCAACACCAACCAUCUAAAUAAUGUUUAAAGUUUGUUCUCCGUCAGUAAAUUAAUUGUUUAAAUCUUUUAAUGAAGCGGCAGGAACAUGAUCAGAUCUUCAUGCUGGUUCUGAUGUUCAUGUUGAAGAAGAUCAGACGUAGGAAAGCUUCUGUAACCCGGGUGAUAAAACCCUAGUUAGAAAUAUAAAUAAAUAAGUAUAUCCUCCAUUCCCGUCUCCAAAACUGUCCUGUCAAAUGCGUAAUGACGUCAUACGUCACGCUGCGCGUCCUGUCACGUGACGGUGCGCGGCCAAUCGGGUUGUUUUAUAUCCGGAAGUCACUCGCGAGCCGCGAGCUUCGAGAGGGGGAUGUGUUGGGAACAUUUGCUGCAAGGAGCCAACUACCGGAGCCGCCAGGCGUCGUGUGGAGUCGCGGGUGUUGAUUAAAGAAGGAAUUGGCCAGGUGAUGGCGAGCUAGACCCAAAGAAUUAUAGGCCCACACUGCCUGAAGAACCCUGGAGCUCGAACUGAAGUGAACUGAACUGGACCUCCUGCACCUCCUCCACCUGGUUGGGCUGGUAGGAGGCUCCUUUAAGGCAGCCGCCCCUCUCUUUUACUUUUUGCCCCUCGCAACAACUCAUUCUUGGCCCAAACCCAUUCACCACUCGUUCAACACUCCCUUUCCCUGGACACCGCCCUUUCCCUCUGAACUCUGGACGAUUUGGGCCACUGAACUGUUGCGUGUGUUCUGUCUUGGCUGAACUUCAGAACUCUUUUCCGUGUGUUAAUGGAUCCAUCGAAUAAUGUUUUCUUGUGAAAUAAUUGUGACUUAAUUCUGUACUUCUCAUGAAUGGCCAUUCACUUUAAAUGUUAAAUGUUGUUUGUCUAUGUCAAAAUAUAAUAUAAUUGGUACCACCUAAAACUUAUAUCAUUGUGUUCAGUCUCCUUUCCUCCACUCCUAGAGCCGAACUUAGAUCUGUCUGAUCUCUAGCCCAAUUCAACCAAUACUCUAACUGCAAACUAGUACUAAUACAGCGCUAAUAGUAGCGGCAUCUAGGCUACACUUCACCCAGAGGAUGGUCGCUGCUGCUUCUGACCUUUACCUGGCUUUACUCACCUGCACACUCAGCCUCGCCUCUGAUUGGCCGAUUCUUGCUCCCGUAUGUGAACGUCCUGGUGGUUCUUCUUCUCUGAUUGGAUGGUUUCUGCUGCUCUUUCUAGAUUAAAUGCGGGUUUCCAGCCGACAUGUGGACGAACACGGCAGCGUGGAUUAGGAUUAUCUGGCGCUGAUCUGUGAUCAGGUUAAAUCAGCUGCACUUGCUGUUCAGAAAACCCAAAACGCCGAUGACAUGUGAAGCUUCCUGCCUCGACUUCACAGCAGCGAUGCACCGAUGAGACCUUCAGAACAUCACCUCCACACACAAACAGCAAUGAGUUCUCUGACAAAUGAUCUUUUUCAUUAAUUAAAAAGACAAUCAGAAGAGUUUUACAGGUGUCAGUGGAGGAAAGAGACAAUCACUGCACUGCAAAAAACAUGGAAUAACCUGCUGCCAGAAAAUAUACAUUAAAGACUGCAUAGAGCCUCCGUAAUCAGGGAGUUAUUGUAUUUUAGUGAAAAAUUAUGUGAUAAAAACUUUAAAAUAUCACUUAUGCAACACCCCCUACCACCAGACUACCACCCAACCCAACCCUUUAACUAAAAAAAAAAACAAUGCUAAGAAUCUCCUGUAAUCAGAAACUUUAGUCAGAGAGAUUCAGGAGUGAAUUCAGAUUAAAUCAUCUGUGAACGGCAUCGACACCACUUUGUAACGUUAAACAGAGUAACCGCUAGAUCGAUGACGUAAAACUCACAAAUAAAUGCAAACUACCACCAAGAACAUGAAGAAAAUGUUUAAAACGAGAAAAACUAAAAUCAGAACCAGAGUUAUUUAAACUGAAAGACCAAAAAUAAUCAAAAUGAGACAAAACGACCAAAAUGAACCAAAAUGAAUCAAAAUGAACCAAAAUGAAACUCGUGUCUACGAGAUGCAAAAAAAACUAAAAUGACCCAGAACAACAAAAC
ensembl:lncRNA